UACGUAGGGGGCUAGCGUUGUCCGGAUUUAUUGGGCGUAAAGAGCGUGUAGGCGGCCAUGUAGGUCCGGUGUGAAAACUCGAGGCUUAACCUCGAGAUGUCAUCGGAAACCAUUUGGCUAGAGUCCGGAAGAGGAGAGUGGAAUUCCUGGUGUAGCGGUGAAAUGCGCAGAUAUCAGGAGGAACACCAGUGGCGAAGGCGGCUCACUGGCCCGGUACUGACGCUGAGGUGCGAAAGCGUGGGGAGCAAACAGG
rnacentral:rRNA from 1 species